UACAGAGGGGGCAAGCGUUGUUCGGAAUUACUGGGCGUAAAGGGCGCGUAGGUGGUGGCUUAAGCGUGCGGUGAAAGCUCGGGGCUCAACUCCGAGUCGGCCGUGCGAAUUGGGCUCACUGGAGCAUAGUAGAGGCAGGUGGAAUUCCGGGUGUAGCGGUGGAAUGCGUAGAGAUCCGGAAGAACACCGGUGGCGAAGGCGGCCUGCUGGGCUAUGGCUGACACUGAGGCGCGACAGCGUGGGGAGCAAACAGG
rnacentral:rRNA from 1 species